rnacentral:rRNA from 1 species
CCUACGGGAGGCAGCAGUGAGGAAUAUUGGUCAAUGGGCGCAAGCUUGAACCAGCCAAGUCGCGUGAGGGGAGACGGCCCUACUGGUUGUAAACCUCGUUUGCCGGGGAGCAAGCCUGAGCACGUGUGCCCAGGCGGAGAGUACCCGGAGAAAAAGCAUCGGCUAACUCCGUGCCAGCAGCCGCGGUAAUACGGAGGAUGCGAGCGUUAUCCGGAUUUAUUGGGUUUAAAGGGUGCGCAGGCGGGCUGUUAAGCCGGCGGUAAAAAUUCAGGGACCGUCCCUGUCCAG